rnacentral:rRNA from 1 species
UCGGGAAUUUUGGGCAAUGGGCGAAAGCCUGACCCAGCAACGCCGCGUGAAGGAUGAAGUAUUUCGGUAUGUAAACUUCGAAAGAAUAGGAAGAAUAAAUGACGGUACUAUUUAUAAGGUCCGGCUAACUACGUGCCAGCAGCCGCGGUAAUACGUAGGGACCAAGCGUUGUUCGGAUUUACUGGGCGUAAAGGGCGCGUAGGCGGCAAUUCAAGUCAUCUGUGAAAUCUCCGGGCUUAACUCGGAACGGUCAGAUGAUACUGCUUUGCUAGAGUGCAGAAGGGGCAAUCGGAAUUCUUGGUGUAGCGGUGAAAUGCGUAGAUAUCAAGAGGAACACCUGAGGUGAAGACGGGUUGCUGGGCUGACACUGACGCUGAGGCGCGAAAGCCAGGGGAGCAAACGGGGAUUAGAUACCCAAGUAGUCCCUGAGCGGGCUGGCAAGGCGCAU